CCUCUUAAAGCCACGUAGCAGUUUCAACGGUAGAGGAUGUUCUCUUUUAUUUGGUACCAUUGGCUUUAGGGAAGCCCGAAGGACCAUCUGCUCCAUCAGAGUCACACGCAGAGGGUUCUGCUCUUGCCUUUGGAAGUUGGCUUCCUGAGCUGGUGAACGAGCCAGUCCUGCUGACCUACUCUCAGAUAUCACAGGCACCGGCUGUGUCUGACAGAGACCUUUCUGCAAGUACACAUGCAGGUCUGCUCUGUAAAGACUUUAUCAUUUGCAGAUUAUUGCCCAGAGUGGCUACGAGCUGUGGUGUGAUCCUGUCACAGAGAGAGCCGGGUCGCGUUUUCAGAACAGCAGGAAACAGAUACACCUCUGACUUGAAAGGGUCCACAACGAUGCCACUGCUGAGAGGGUCACAAGAAAAUUGUGAUCUCCGAGAGCCUAGAUUUUUAACUUCACAUGCAGCCCCUACUGACAGAGA
rnacentral:lncRNA from 1 species